CAUGAUUUCUUCUUUGCUUAUCUGCAUCCACUUCCUAAAUGCCAGCCAUAUACAACUUCUGGAAAGUUUCCUGGUCUAUCAUGUUCACUUACUCUCACUUUUGUCUUUUACAUAUUAUUUUUCACUUGACUAAGUCAUCUUUCUUUUUCAUAACUUAUCUAAGCAUUCUUCAGCUUGUCGUUCUUGACAAAUUUUCUUACAGCGCCCAUAGUUUCCUGAACUUGACUAAACCAAAAUACUUCACACCCUAUAGUGUUAUUUCUAUCUGAUUUUGUGGCUACUCAUUUAAAUUGAGAUGCUUAAUGGCAGAGAAUGUGUUCAAUCCAUCUUUGUAACACUUUCCUUUACCACAAUACCAAGUGUUAUGGGUGAAUUGUGUUCCUAAUCCCCAACUAAAAGAUAUGUUGAAAUCCUAAUCACCAAUAUCCCCAAUGUGACCUCAUUUGUGAAUAGGAUCUCUGCAUAUUUAACCAAGUGGAGAUGAGGUCAUUAAAGUGGGCCCUAAUCCAAAUAUGCCUAGAUUAUAUUUCUAUUAAAAAGGGGGACAUUUGUACAUACGAAUACACAGGGAAAAGACUAUACGAAGACACACAGAGAGAAGGCCAUGUAAUGAUGGAAGCAGACACGGGAGUGAUGCCUUUGCAAACCAAAGACCAAAGGCUGCUAGCAAAGCAACAGAACUAGAAGAGGUGAGUGAGGAAGGGUUCCCCUACAGGUCUCAGAGGAAGCAGGGGACUACUGACACUUUAAUUUCAGACUCCUAACCUUCAGACUUUAAUUUCAGACUCCUAACCUUCAGACGUCUGAGACAGGAAGUUGUUAUUCUCUUAAGCCACCCAGCUUGUGGUACUUUCUAGUCAUGGCAGCUGUAGGAUAAACUAGGAAAGCCCUAGGAAAGUAUGUAAAGCAAUACAAAUAUCUUGAAUCAAUGAAUGGGCAGCCUCUCUCUCCAACACACGCAAAAAAUUCAAAAGUGCUAAAUGUUUGCAGCCUCCUUUUUCUGUCAUUUGGCCAGAACAAGCUAUGACUUUCUUUUUUUUUUUUUUCUGGUAAAAAUGCAGGUAAUAACAUACUACUUUCCUGAAGGAGUUGUAGUAAUUGAAUGAGUAAAUACAUAUAAAACACUUAAACAGAAAUGUUAAUACUCAAAAUAUUAUCGCUGUCAUCAUCAUUGCUAUUAUUAUUAUUGCAUGUGGCACCUAGGAGGGCAUAGUUACAUUCAGAUAUGCACAUCUAGGCCAUGGGUCCCACAAAAUCCCAGCUCUUGCACCCUACACAUGCUUUUUGCUAGAAUUACUUCCUUCAUUAGGUAAAUUUGGCAAGAAAAAUCCAAAUUCACAUCAUCUAUGCAUGUUUGUUUUCCAGAAUUUCUUUAUCAGGAUAUAGAAUUUAUUUAAAGUCGACUAAAACUAUGAGCACACUUAGAAUUUCUUGGUCAAAUAUCUGAUCCACAGAGUGCUGUAUGGAAAUCCUGCCCAAAGAUAAAAUGUUGAUGAUCUUACAGAUUUCUUUCUCUCCUUAGAGGAAUCUCCUCCUCUCCUUCUUUUCAGGAUCCUUUAGCCUAAUUCUCUUCCUAACCCCUGAUUAAAUCAUGAUCACAGGUUUGAAUAUAAGGGUAUACAAAUUAUAAAUUAUAAAUGACAGGUAAUAUAAAAAAUUUGGUCUUUUCCAAAGAAUACUUAAGACAGUUAAUCAUCAGAUGGUUCUUUAGGUAUCUUCAUGCAUGUGAGGGUAUGAGAAAGGGAUCUUGAAGUGACCUUGACAUUAAGUUAUAUUCGUAGCAAUGAGUGAAAUAUUAAUGAGGCAAAUGGCACCAUACUGGCUUGGAGUAUUGUACGUAGCUCUCCAAGCCUCUAUCAGAACCAGGGGAGAACCCAAUUUAUUAAUUUCCACAUAUUCUAGGUAAUUUAUAAGUGUUAAGAAAAAAAGGAGAGAGAAACUUUCUUUAGUACCCAAUAUUUUCAUUUUUUCAUUCUUUCAAUAAAAGAACCUGAGGAAUAAAAUGCUUUAUAGACAUACUUUGAGAGUCAUCAAAGAAAGAAGUGAACAGCGAAGUUGAAAGGAAGGCAAGAAAGAAAAUCCUCAUUGAAAAUAAAUUAGGGAGUUCCCGUCAUGGUUCAGCAGAAACGAAUCUGACUAGUAUCCAUGAGGACACAGGUUCAAUCCCUGACCUCACUCAGCAGUGGGUUAGGAAUCCAGCAUUACCAUGAGCUGUGGUGUAGGUGCAAAUGCGGCUCAGAUCCCGAGUUGCUGUGGCUGUGAAGUGGGCCAAUGGCUACAGCUCUGAUUCAGACCCUAGCCUGGGAGUUUAUGUGUGCUGUGGGUGUGGCCCUAAAAAAAAAAAAAAAUAGAGGGUUGGUUGUAAUUUGCUGAAGAUAUUCUGUGGCUUGGAAUAGCCUGUCUCUGGAACUAUUCAUGGAGUGUGUUAUUCUUUUAUAACGAACAAAUAUAGUUUGGUUGAAAAAGAAAGAUAACUAAAAUAAAGAAAAAUAAGAGAAGCAAAACACCUUCCAGUUGGCUGGUGUUAUUGGCAACACACAAGGGUGAAUUGGUGGUUUAUGCAACCAGGGAUAGGGGUUAGUGAAAGAGGGAUUAAGGAAGUAAUUAGCAGUUUCAGACUGAGCUCACAAGGCAUGGCUCCCUUUCCUCACAUUCCCACCAGCACUCUUUAAGUUUUUCAAGGCCUGUAUGAAAUUAUCAAGGACACUGCAGAAUGGGAGAGGAUCUUGUUCCCACAUUCAGAAUGAUAUUCUGCUUUCUUUGGGGUUGGAUGCAUAUUGUUUGAUGGAUAAUUGAGCUGUUAUAUAUCACUUCUGCAUAACAUUAUGCAUCAUGACUCUUUUUCCAGCAAACUGAUAAAAAUAGUAAUUUCAGACUAUACUACAUAUAAACAAGAAACUUACAGGAGUUCCCUUUGUGGCUCAGCCAUUAACAAACCCAACUAGUAUCCAUGAGGACACAGGUUCGAUCCCUGGCCUCGCUUAUUGGGUUAAGGAUCUGGCGUAGCCGUGAGCUAUCCCGCUUUCAGAUCCUGCAUUGUUGUGGCUGUGGUGUAGGCCAGGCAGCUGUAUCUCAGAUUUGACCCCUAGCCUGGGAGCUUCCAUAUGCCAUGGGUGCAUCCCUAAAAAG
rnacentral:lncRNA from 1 species